rnacentral:rRNA from 1 species
ACGAACGCUGGCGGCGUGCUUAACACCUGCAAGUCGAACGGGCCUUGUCCCCUUUUUUUUUGGGGGUGGGGUUAGUGGCGAACGGGUGAGUAACACGUGAGUAACCUGCCCCUCACUUCUGGAUAACCGCUUGAAAGGGUGGCUAAUACGGGGUGUUCUGGCCUGCUCGCAUGGGUGGGUUUGGAAAGAUUCGACCGGUUUUGGUUGUUUUGGUGGGGGAUGGGCUCGCGGCCUAUCAGCUUGUUGGUGGGGUGAUGGCCUGCCAAGGCUUUGACGGGUAGCCGGCCUGAGAGGGUGGGCGGUCACACUGGGACUGAGACACGGCCCAGACUCCUACGGGAGGCAGCAGUGGGGAAUAUUGCACAAUGGGCGCAAGCCUGAUGCAGCGACGCCGCGUGAGGGAUGGAGGCCUUCGGGUUGUGAACCUCUUUCGCCAGUGAAGAAGGUCCUGCUCUUUGUGGUGGGGUUGACGGUAGCUGGGUUAAUGAAGCGCCGGCUAACUACGUG